AUUGAACGCUGGCGGCAUGCCUUACACAUGCAAGUCGAACGGUAACAGGUCUUCGGAUGCUGACGAGUGGCGAACGGGUGAGUAAUACAUCGGAACGUGCCUAGUAGUGGGGGAUAACUACUCGAAAGAGUGGCUAAUACCGCAUGAGAUCUACGGAUGAAAGCAGGGGAUCGCAAGACCUUGUGCUACUAGAGCGGCCGAUGGCAGAUUAGGUAGUUGGUGGGAUAAAAGCUUACCAAGCCGACGAUCUGUAGCUGGUCUGAGAGGACGAUCAGCCACACUGGGACCGCGACACGGCCCAGACUCCUACGGGGGGCAGCAGUGGGGAAUUUUGGACAAUGGGCGCAAGCCUGAUCCAGCAAUGCCGCGUGCAGGAUGAAGGCCUUCGGGUUGUAAACUGCUUUUGUACGGAACGAAAAGCCCCGGGUUAAUACCCUGGGGUCAUGACGGUACCGUAAGAAUAAGCACCGGCUAACUACGUGCCAGCCGCCGCAGUAA
rnacentral:rRNA from 1 species